CUACGGGUCGCAGCAGUGGGGAAUAUUGGACAAUGGGCGCAAGCCUGAUCCAGCAAUACCGCGUGUGUGAAGAAGGCCUGCGGGUUGUAAAGCACUUUCAAUAGUGAAGAAAAGCGAGAGGUUAAUAGCCUUUUGUCUUGACGUUAACUUUAGAAGAAGCACCGGCUAACUCUGUGCCAGCAGCCGCGGUAAUACGGAGGGUGCGAGCGUUAAUCGGAAUUACUGGGCGUAAAGCGUGCGUAGGCGGUUUAGUAAGUCAGAUGUGAAAGCCCCGGGCUCAACCUGGGAACUGCAUUUGAAACAGGUGAACUAGUGUGCGGGAGGGGGAAGUGGAAUUCCGGGUGUAGCGGUGAAAUGCGUAAAUAUCCGGAGGAACACCAGUGGCGAAGGCGACUUCCUGGACCAACACUGACGCUGAGGUACGAAAGCGUGGGUAGCAAACAGGAUUAGAUACCCCGGUAGUC
rnacentral:rRNA from 1 species